rnacentral:misc_RNA from 1 species
GAAGGCUGUUAUGAUCUCAUAGAUUUUGAGCAUAAAAACAUUUUAUAACUCAAAAGUUUCCACACCAACAACGCUCAGAAGUACAGCUACAAGUAAAUAGAGAAAAUUUAACAGGAAUUCUCAUGUUUUUAUUCCCUAUUGGCCAUGGAGAAAGGACAAUCCACUUUCAUUUAAGGCCCUUUGGAAAGGGCAGGCUGCUUGUAUAUUUGAAUUCUUCCUUGUCAGCGGCAAGCCACAAUGUAGUAAACAGAUGACAUCAGAAGAAUGCUCUUGCCAACUUUCAACCAUACCACGUCUGAACUAGUUCAAUAAAAGUAGCCAAGAACUUGUCCACCCACAUUUUGCCGCUGAGCUUCUUCGUGAUCCAAAACUCCGUUUGGUGUUGUAAUUACAACAUAUCCCCACUGACGUGUAGGAAGGGUGCGCGUUUUAUAAUCCUCAAGAGUUGCCGCCUUGAUAUCCUGUCUAUAGGUGAGAGCUCGACAAUCAUUGAUCCUUCCAAGCAAUUCAACAGAUAUCUUACCAACUCUAUGAGGAUCAUGUACUUGAAAGUCUUUAAUAUAACCUCGAUACUUCAUGAUUUGGAGGAAAUUAGCGAUGACAUUAGAGACAGGUUUUAGCUCAGCAGAAGCAAAUCCUCUCUUUUCUGCAUUCACAAUAGUCCUCAGUGCAUCGUUCAAUAUUCUCCUCCCCAUUUUUACUUUACUGUUUCUUCUCCGGCGACUGUAAAAUCUCCUUUCAACUCCUUAAACCCUCGCACAAAAU